GCGCCCAUAGCACAAAGGUUAGUGCGUUCGGCUUAUAUCCGAAUGAUCCUGGUUCGAGUCCAGGUGGGCGUA
rnacentral:tRNA from 1 species